UGGGGAAUUUUGGACAAUGGGCGAAAGCCUGAUCCAGCCAUGCCGCGUGAGUGAAGAAGGCCUUCGGGUUGUAAAGCUCUUUUAGUCGGAAAGAAAAGAUCAUAAUGAACAAUUAUGAUUCAUGACGGUACCGACAGAAAAAGCACCGGCUAACUACGUGCCAGCAGCCGCGGUAAUACGUAGGGUGCGAGCGUUAAUCGGAAUUACUGGGCGUAAAGGGUGCGCAGGCGGUUUUGUAAGUCAGAUGUGAAAUCCCCGGGCUUAACCUGGGAAUUGCGUUUGAAACUGCAAGACUAGAGUGCAGCAGAGGGGAGUGGAAUUCCGAUGUGUAGCAGUGAAAUGCGUAGAGAUGUGGAAGAACACCGAUGGCGAAGGCAGCGUCCCUGGGUUGACACUGACGCU
rnacentral:rRNA from 1 species